CCGCCAUUGAUCUGGACGGAGCACAUGGAACGAAGCGGCGGCAUAUUUCGAGUACGUAGUAUGUCAAAAACAGAUGAAAAAAUUUCAAAAGGAACAAUAGUUUGCAACAUCUGUUGCUGAAGCAAAAAACGAGUUUACGAGCAACUCCCUGCUUAAUAGUUUGUGCAGAGUCGUUUAUGCUAUCCAUUGAUGGAGGAACAUGUAUGUGAGAUAAAGGUUUUUGGAUCCUACUUCAGCAAGCUCUACGUUAGAG